AGAGUGGUGACUUAUAUGUCUUAAAUGGGAGCUUUUGAAUCUUGUAGUAAAAGCCAUUGAGCAUUUUCACUACCUGAUGACGACUUUGAAUCUGUAGGCACAGUCACAGUGCUCUGAACGUACUGUGGUUGUUCCUGUGAGUUGUCCCACACCUUUGCUCAUGCCUUUGUCAUGUAUAAUGCAUACAUGUCGUGUAUAAUGUCGUGUAUACCAGGGCUGAUAAAGGUGCUUUCCUUGAGUCGUGCUGUAAGCAGUGAUGCUAUGCUGUUACUAUGGAGGCCAAUCUCUCUCCUGAUGCUCUCAGCCCCAUUGCCUCACUCUCAAGGACACUGCACUUCCUGAUGUUGCUUUCUGAAUGGCUCCCUUUAGCCCCACCGUCUUCAUGAGGAUGCAGACAUGUCCAUAUACAUCUUUUCUUAAAAUGCCAUCUUCCUUUAGCUUGACUUUCCCUUUUCAGCUGUGUAGAUUUUUCUAGGUGUCUUCACAGUCUCCUUUUCUGAAUGCUUACAUGUUCUUUGCUACCUGUGCCUCUUCCUCCUUUACACAGUCUCCAUCCCUCAAUGAUCUGCGUUUACCUUCUAUUUCAUUGAAGCUGGUAACCUUAUUGUUAGGUCAGCUAAACUCAGUCAUGUAGUCCUAACCGCAGAAAGCCAUUGCUCAAAAAUCCAGUUCAUCAGCUCCGUCUCCAAUCCUUCAGCAAAUGAGAAUUUGGUUUCUAA
rnacentral:lncRNA from 1 species